rnacentral:pre_miRNA from 1 species
CAAGUACUCCCUCCUCCGUUCGGAAUUACUCGUCCAAGAAAUGAAUGUAUCUAGAUGUAUUUUAGUUAUAGAUACAUCCAUUUUUGUGACAAGUAAUUCUGAACGAAGGGAGUACAAU